rnacentral:tRNA from 1 species
GGGUGGUUAGCUCAGCUGGCUAGAGCGUCGCGUUGACAUCGCGGAGGUCACAGGUUCGAGCCCUGUACCACCCACCA